UAGGUAUAAAGAAGCCGGAGCUCAGCCCCCGCUGCCUGGGGUGCGAAGGACUCAGCUGACAGCUCCUCAGCUUGAGGUGGCCCUGCAAAAUCAGACCUUUGGAGGAGCCUGGGUGGCUGCUGGCUCCCCCAGCACUACCUGAACCCCCCAAGACACUCCUCAGCGCUGGGCAAGUUUUAGUGCCCACAUAUUGGACUGUGCACCUGAGGUGCCACAGAAGCCGAGGCACCUGCCUCUGGGUUUCCAAUUCCUGACUUGGAAGUGUCCAAGUUCUUGCUUGCAUCCCACCUCAGCUGGAGGAGCAACUUGUGUCGGAACCAGCAGAGGUAACUAUGGAUGCUGGAGUGGAAGGGCAGUCUGGGUGAGCACCAAAACAACCGUCGGCACCAGGCUGGGCAAAACUAAAGGCAUAGAAAAA